AGAAUAUUAUUGUUGAAUUUUAAAUUGGGAUUAUUGGAAUGUGAAAAUUAUUUUAAAAUAGUUGAUUUAUUGAAAUUUGGUCUGAAAUUUCUAAAACUGCUGAAAUUGGGUUGAAAUUGGGAUUGGGUGUGAAAUUGUUGAAAUUGGGAAUUUGGUCUGUAAUUGCUGAAAUUAGUGAAUUUGGGAUUAAAUUUGGGAUUGAUUUUAAACCAUCAUAGUUAUGUUAAUCGACUCAUGUUGGGAUUGAUUUUGGAUUACCUUGAUAAUUUGGGACUGCCUACUUAUGUUAUGUAUAUAUGAAUAUUUUUCAUCAAUAUGUUGUGGACUACCUUGAUAAUUAGGGACUGCCUUACUUAUAUUGUGGACUACUUUUAUCUUGUCUACUGAUUCUUGCUGAUAUGGACUGCAUAUAAUUAAAUUGGUAUAUUUGCUAUUUUCGACAGAAUUUCUGUCAGAAUUAUUCAUUUGCAAAAUUUGCGGGCCUUGAAAGUAUAUUUAUGUAUUAUUUAAUUACUUUCCCAAUAUUAAAAUAAACUAAGUAACAUUUACUUAGUUUUUUACUACUAAAAUAAAUUAAAAAGAACUAAGUAGUAUUCAUUUAGUUUUAUCACUAAUAAAUAAAAUAAAAUAAUAUAA
rnacentral:lncRNA from 1 species